AACGCACAUUGCGCCCUGUGGUAUUCCGCAGGGCAUGCCUGUUCGAGCGUCAUUUCAACCCUCAAGCUCCGCUUGGUGUUGGGCCCUGCCCGCUGCGGCCGGCCCUAAAGACAGUGGCGGUGCCGUCUGGCCCUGAGCGUAGUACAUCCCUCGCUCCAGUGCCCGGCGGUGGCCUGCCAGAACCCCCCGACUCUCGUGGUUGACCUCGGAUCAGGUAGGGAUACCCGCUGAACUUAA
rnacentral:misc_RNA from 1 species